rnacentral:rRNA from 1 species
GAUGAACGCUGGCGGCGUGCCUAAUACAUGCAAGUCGAGCGAACAGACGAGGAGCUUGCUCCUCUGACGUUAGCGGCGGACGGGUGAGUAACACGUGGAUAACCUACCUAUAAGACUGGGAUAACUUCGGGAAACCGGAGCUAAUACCGGAUAAUAUAUUGAACCGCAUGGUUCAAUAGUGAAAGACGGUUUUGCUGUCACUUAUAGAUGGAUCCGCGCCGCAUUAGCUAGUUGGUAAGGUAACGGCUUACCAAGGCAACGAUGCGUAGCCGACCUGAGAGGGUGAUCGGCCACACUGGAACUGGGACACGGUCCAGACUCCUAAGGGAGGCAGCAGUAGGGAAUCUUCCGCAAUGGGCGAAAGCCUGACGGAGCAACGCCGCGUGAGUGAUGAAGGUCUUCGGAUCGUAAAACUCUGUUAUUAGGGAAGAACAAAUGUGUAAGUAACUAUGCACGUCUUGACGGUACCUAAUCAGAAAGCCACGGCUAACUACGUG